rnacentral:rRNA from 1 species
UACGUAGGGUGCAAGCGUUAAUCGGAAUUACUGGGCGUAAAGCGUGCGCAGGCGGUUUUGUAAGUCUGACGUGAAAUCCCCGGGCUCAACCUGGGAAUGGCAAUGGAUACUGGAUAGCUAGAGUGUGAUAGAGGAUGGUGGAAUUCCCGGUGUAGCGGUGAAAUGCGUAGAGAUCGGGAGGAACAUCAGUGGCGAAGGCGGCCAUCUGGAUCAACACUGACGCUGAGGCACGAAAGCGUGGGGAGCAAACAGG